GUUAAGCCCUACCGCGCCGAUGGUACUGCCGUAACAGGUGGGAGAGUAGGUCAUUGCCAACC
rnacentral:rRNA from 1 species